rnacentral:lncRNA from 1 species
GUGGGGCCUGGCUUGCUCAUCUCGCCCAUCUCGCUCGUCUCGCACACGCAUCUCGCCCCUCGUCUAUCCGCUCGCUCACGAGUCGCAAAUUCGUGAUUGCUCCGCCCCUGCUGCAAGCUUCAACGCCGCCCGCCUCGUCGUUCCUCUUCCCUCGCUCGCGGCUCCUCGUGUUGCCCGCGUCAGCGUUGCGCUCCCUCGGCGUCGAUGAUGGGUGGGCCCCUACUGCGUUGGACCAUUGGCAGAGACGGGUUGCCAUUGGAGCAGGUGUGUCAUCAGAUCUCUCCGCUCGCCUGGUUGCCCCUCCCUGCGCCACUCACCUUGGCUUUCGCAAUGGCCGUUCUAGGGGGCAGGUGGAGUCAGCGAUGAUCCCCGACGUCCAUGACGGAUGGGGCCCUUCUGCGCUUGGCCCCAUGGCAGACUCCGUUG